rnacentral:rRNA from 1 species
GAGCUUGCUCUUAUGAAGUUAGCGGCGGACGGGUGAGUAACACGUGGGUAACCUGCCCAUAAGACUGGGAUAACUCCGGGAAACCGGGGCUAAUACCGGAUAACAUUUUGAACCGCAUGGUUCGAAAUUGAAAGGCGGCUUCGGCUGUCACUUAUGGAUGGACCCGCGUCGCAUUAGCUAGUUGGUGAGGUAACGGCUCACCAAGGCAACGAUGCGUAGCCGACCUGAGAGGGUGAUCGGCCACACUGGGACUGAGACACGGCCCAGACUCCUACGGGAGGCAGCAGUAGGGAAUCUUCCGCAAUGGACGAAAGUCUGACGGAGCAACGCCGCGUGAGUGAUGAAGGCUUUCGGGUCGUAAAACUCUGUUGUUAGGGAAGAACAAGUGCUAGUUGAAUAAGCUGGCACCUUGACGGUACCUAACCAGAAAGCCACGGCUAACUACGUGCCAGCAGCCGCGGUAAUACGUAGGUGGCAAGCGUUAUCCGGAAUUAUUGGGCGUAAAGCGCGCGCAGGUGGUUUCUUAAGUCUGAUGUGAAAGCCCACGGCUCAACCGUGGAGGGUCAUUGGAAACUGGGAGACUUGAGUGCAGAAGAGGAAAGUGGAAUUCCAUGUGUAGCGGUGAAAUGCGUAGAGAUAUGGAGGAACACCAGUGGCGAAUGGCGACUUUCUGGUCUGUAACUGACACUGAGGCGCGAAAGCGUGGGAGCAAACAGGGAUUAGAUACCCUGGUAGUCCAC